CCUACGGGUGGCUGCAGUGGGGAAUAUUGGACAAUGGGGGCAACCCUGAUCCAGCCAUGCCGCGUGUGUGAAGAAGGCCCUCGGGUUGUAAAGCACUUUCAGUGAGGAAGAACGCCUGGUGGUUAAUACCCAUCAGGAAAGACAUUACUCACAGAAGAAGCACCGGCUAACUCCGUGCCAGCAGCCGCGGUAAUACGGAGGGUGCGAGCGUUAAUCGGAAUUACUGGGUGUAAAGCGCGCGUAGGUGGCUUGAUAAGCCGGUUGUGAAAGCCCCGGGCUCAACCUGGGAACGGCAUCCGGAACUGUCAAGCUAGAGUGCAGGAGAGGAAGGUAGAAUUCCCGGUGUAGCGGUGAAAUGCGUAGAGAUCGGGAGGAAUACCAGUGGCGAAGGCGGCCUUCUGGACUGACACUGACACUGAGGUGCGAAAGCGUGGGUAGCAAACAGGAUUAGAUACCCCAGUAGUC
rnacentral:rRNA from 1 species